rnacentral:rRNA from 1 species
UACGGGGGGGGCAAGCGUUGUUCGGAAUUACUGGGCGUAAAGGGCUCGUAGGUGGCCAACUAAGUCGGACGUGAAAUCCCUCGGCUUAACCGGGGAACUGCGUCCGAUACUGGAUGGCUUGAGUUUGGGAGAGGGAUGCGGAAUUCCCGGUGUAGCAGUGAAAUGCGUAGAGAUCGGGAGGAACAUCAGUUGCGAAGGCGGCUCUCUGGACCAGCACUGACACUGAGGCACGAAAGCGUGGGGAGCGAACAGG